UGGUUUAGUUGGUAAAGCAUGGCACUCGCAAUGCCAAGGUUGUGGGUUUGAUUCCCAU
rnacentral:tRNA from 1 species